GAGAGUGGAUUGGUUUGUGGCCAUGGUGUUAACUGAGAAAAGGACAACUUUGCAAUGGAUUUGGUUCAGCUGCACUGGUUUACCUGAGGUGGAUGAAGUGUUGUGCUGAGGUAUCUAAUUUUCUGUAAGACACAUUUGAAUCCAGUCAGAGCCCAAAGUGGAUGAGGCCAAAGAGGUCUUCACUGUCAUUACUAUAUGGGAUCCCAAUCCUCUUUGCUAUUAAGGGAAUAGAGAGAUGUGUGGGAAGCAAUGGACAGCUGGCAGAGGUGCCGUUUUCUACUUGGAGAAAGGGUUCAUAUCUCUUUGAUAUAGCCUUGGAUAAUAUUCCUGUCAUAUUGUGGGAGUCAGCAACAGAGAAAAGAGAGUUUCAGGUUUUGUGAAUUGUCAUUCAUCAGUCAGUAGGCAACACAGCUGAGUUUAUGCAGUAACUCAAA
rnacentral:lncRNA from 1 species